rnacentral:rRNA from 1 species
AGUGAACGCUGGCGGCAGGCCUAACACAUGCAAGUCGAGCGGCAGCACAGUAAGAGCUUGCCCUUACGGGUGGCGAGUGGCGGACGGGUGAGGAAUACAUCGCAAACUUCUUUUUCGUGGGUGACAACGUAGGGAAACUUACGCUAAUACCGCAUACGACCUACGGGUGAAAGCAGGGGUUCUUCGGACCUUGCGCGAUUGAAUGAGCCGAUGUCGGAUUAGCUAGUUGGCGGGGUAAAGGCCCACCAAGGCGACGAUCCGUAGCUGGUCUGAGAGGAUGAUCGGCCACACUGGAACUGAGACACGGUCCAGACUCCUACGGGAGGCAGCAGUGGGGAAUAUUGGACAAUGGGCGCAAGCCUGAUCCAGCCAUACCGCGUGAGUGAAGAAGGUCUUCGGGUUGUAAAGCCCUGUUGUUAGGAAAGAAAAGCAGCGUGUGAAUCCCCCGCUGUUUUGACGGUACCUAAUGAGUAAGCACCGGCUAACUUCGUG